AUUGAACGCUGGCGGCAUGCCUUACACAUGCAAGUCGAGCGGCUGCACGGGCCUCGGCCUGGCGUCGAGUGGCGGACGGGUGAGUAAUGCCUAGGAACGUGCCCAGUAGUGGGGGAUAGCGCCGCGAAACGGGGGCUAAUACCGCAUACGACCUGAGGGUGAAAGCGGGGGACCGUAAGACCUCGCGCUAUCGGAGCGGCCGAUGUCGGAUUAGCUAGUUGGUGGGGUAAAGGCUUACCAAGGCGACGAUCCGUAGCUGGUCUGAGAGGAUGAUCAGCCACACUGGAACUGAGACACGGUCCAGACUCCUACGGGAGGCAGCAGUGGGGAAUAUUGGACAAUGGGGGCAAGCCUGAUCCAGCCAUGCCGCGUGCGUGAAGAAGGUCUUCGGAUUGUAAACCGCUUUUGGUUGGGAAGAAGGGCAGUGAGCUAAUACCUUGGGGUGUUGACGGUACCGGAAGAAUAAGCACCGGCUAACUACGUG
rnacentral:rRNA from 1 species